UGCUCUUCCUAUCUGGCUGACCCAGAUUCUAAAAAGGAAGCUGGCAAUGCCACCAGCCCUGAGAUGGAUAACCCACUGCUCGAGGCACCUCCAUUUAUCCAGGCUGUUUAUACAGAAGCUGGAUACAAUAAGAUUAGUAAUCAAAGAUACUGGCAUGCUUGCUUAUGCAAGCAUUUGUGGGAAGCCUUGUAUCGCAGAUGUGAUUCCUUUAAAGAACACAUUGCUAAGUACAUCAGAGGGGAGCUAAAACUGUCCAUGUAAGAAGAGGAAGUUGACACUUGUCUCUAAAGAUGUGCUAGACAUGAUUCACCGAACAGCCAGUUCAUGACCAACUGCAAAGCCACAAAUAAUUGUAUUAAUAGAUAAACUUAUUCUAUGUCUGAUCUGGGGCUGGAAACUUUUCGCUGAGAUGUUCAAAUUCUAAAAAAUCAUGAUUCAGCUGUAACAUGAAUUGUAUUUUUUCUAUCCUUGUCAAGUUCCUUGUUCCUAUCACUAUAUAAGAGAAGUUUAAACUUCAGUAAAAUUACAGCAGUUCACU